GUAUUGAAUCCACUACUUCAAUAAAUGUAAUAUCAUCAACCAGUAAUGCCAAGAGUAUAUCUACUAUUAUACCUACAACAUCAACUUGGCAUAGUUCAUCAAGAAUAAUACCAUCAUACAGUAUUACAACAUCUUUGAUAACAGUGACUAGUUCAAUGCCAGUUGAUGAUGGCACUGACAGUACAGAUACAGCAGUGUCUAUUAAUGUUGGAAUAACUGUAGCACUUGUGAUCUCUGGACUGAUCAAUAUCAUAUUCAUAAUAUUAGCAGUUUCUGUUCUUCUUUAUUUGAAGACAUCUAAUAAAUCAUUGACUAAUAACAGGUCACCUACUGAGGCCAGUAAUAUGGUGUAUGAUA